AUUGAACGCUGGCGGCAGGCCUAACACAUGCAAGUCGAACGAGUGGCGGACGGGUGCGUAAUGUCUGGGAAACUGCCUGAUGGAGGGGGAUCACUUCUGGAAACGGUAGCUAAUACCGCAUACCAUCGGAUGUGCCCAGAUGGGAUUAGCUAGGAGGUUGGGUAACGGCUCACCUAGGCGACGAUCCCUAGCGUGUCUGAGAGGAUGACCAGCCAGUCUGGAACUGAGACGCGGUCCAGACGCCUACGAGAGGCAGCAGUGGGGAAUAUUGCACAAUGGGCGCAAGCCUGAUGCAGCCAUGCCGCGUGUAUGAAGAAGGCCUUCGGGUUGUAAAGUACUUUCAGCGAGGAGGCGUUACUCGCAGAAGAAGCACCGGCUAACUCCGUGCCAGCCGCCGCGGUAAUAC
rnacentral:rRNA from 1 species